CCCAGUUGUCUUGAAAGCACCAUAAAUCUAGAGAAUGACAGAGUUUGAUGACAAAGUUUAAUAACAAAACUUGCCCACAAGAAGAUACGCCACGCCACCUUCCUGUUCAAGUGAGCACAGCACAACGUUCCAACCAGGUUGAAGAGCUACCUUUCCCAGAGCAUGGUUCCACACAGAAGCCCCUGGCUUUGGAAGAGCAGCUGGAGGCAGCGUGUGAUCAGAUAGAUCAUCUGGCAAAGGAGAUCGAGUCACUAAGAAGCCAACAGUUUUGUCUCCAAUGUUUCCAGUGUGAACUCACAACUUUCCAAGGGCCACUGUUAUAUUGUGGCCCCUGCCCACCUCCACUAUUUGGGCAUGAAUGAAGAAUUGUCUUUGAGUUGAUUAUUGUAAGCAUUUAUACAUUUGUCUAAACCUCUA